rnacentral:rRNA from 1 species
GACGAACGCUGGCGGCGUGCUUAACACAUGCAAGUCGAAGGAGUGGCGAACGGGUGAGUAACACGUGAGUAACCUGCCCCUUCUUUUGGAUAACCGCAUGAAAGUGUGGCUAAUACAGGAUAGUGGGGGAUGGGCUCGCGGCCUAUCAGCUUGUUGGUGGGGUGAUGGCCUACCAAGGCGGUGACGGGUAGCCGGCCUGAGAGGGUGGGCGGGCACACGGGGCCUGGGAUACGGCCCAGACUGCUGCGGGAGGCGGGAAUGGGGGACUUUGCACAAAGGGCGGAAGCCUGAUGCAGCGACGCCGGGUGAGGGAUGAAGGCCUUCGGGUUGUAAACCUCUUUCGCGGGGUUGAUUUGAACUGGUAAAGAAGUACCGGCUAACUACGUGCCAGCAGCCGCGGUAAUUC